rnacentral:rRNA from 1 species
AACGAACGCUGGCGGCAGGCUUAACACAUGCAAGUCGAACGAGGUAGCAAUACAUAGUGGCGCACGGGUGAGUAACGCGUGGGAAUAUACCUUAUAGUGGGGAAUAACUUUGGGAAACUAAAGCUAAUACCGCAUACGCCCGAGAGGGGAAAGAUUUAUCGCUAUAAGAUUAGCCCGCGUGAGAUUAGGUAGUUGGUGGGGUAAUGACCUACCAAGCCUACGAUCUCUAGCUGGUCUGAGAGGAUGAUCAGCCACACUGGAACUGAGACACGGUCCAGACUCCUACGGGAGGCAGCAGUGGGGAAUAUUGGGCAAUGGAGGAAACUCUGACCCAGCCAUGCCGCGUGAAUGAUGAAGGCCUUAGGGUUGUAAAGUUCUUCCGCCGAUGAAGAUAAUGACGGUAGUCGGAGAAGAAGCCCCGGCUAACUUCGUGCCAGCCGCCGCAGUAA